rnacentral:misc_RNA from 1 species
CUCUUUUCUGUAAUUUUCUCUUUUCCAUUAGCUUCACAAUAGUCCUUAAGACUGCGGUGUCACAAUUUCCCGUUCAAAAUUAGGAUUAGGACUGACCUCGCAGUCACUUAUCGGUAAGGUCACCCAUCAUUGUGACCAUCGACUCAUUUAACUUUUUAUGCUUUGUAUUUUUUACUUAGACUUAACUAUCUAGUAAUUACUAUUUAUUUUCAUUAAGAGCUUUUCUAGAUGUCUUAAAUAUAGUUCUAAUCCUCUUAAUUAUUCGGACCGACACCAGUCACCGGAACAGUAAAUUAUACAUAGCUAUGCAUAAUGAUCAAAUUGAUGGAUGAAUCAGUGCAAUUACCAGUGAUCACUAGACCCAAAUUAUACAGAAAGGCUCAAAUGCUUUUUGAGCCCCCAAAAAAAUAGAGAAAAGAUGCAAAAAUUAACUAUUAUCUUCUUGAUACUUGUAUGGAACUUGCUAACAAUAUAAUAACAAUACCUGUUCAUAAGCAUCCGCAUGU